UACGUAGGGUGCGAGCGUUAAUCGGAAUUACUGGGCGUAAAGCGUGCGCAGGCGGUUCGACAAGUCCGAUGUGAAAGCCCCGGGCUCAACCUGGGAAUGGCAUUGGAAACUGGCGAGCUUGAGUGUGGCAGAGGGGGGUGGAAUUCCGCGUGUAGCAGUGAAAUGCGUAGAGAUGCGGAGGAACACCGAUGGCGAAGGCAGCCCCCUGGGCUGACACUGACGCUCAGGUACGAAAGCGUGGGGAGCAAACAGG
rnacentral:rRNA from 1 species